GCCGAGGUAGCUCAGUCCGGUAGAGCAGGGGACUGAAAAUCCCUGUGUCGGCGGUUCAAUUCCGUCCCUCGGCACCA
rnacentral:tRNA from 1 species